rnacentral:rRNA from 1 species
AACCAACGCUGGCGGCGUGCCUAAUACAUGCAAGUCGAACGGGGAAAGCUUUCGGGUGAGUACUAGUGGCGCACGGGUGAGGAACGCGUGGAUAAUCUGCCUUAGAGUGGGGGAUAACUAGUCGAAAGAUUAGCUAAUACCGCAUAAGACCACGAGAGCUGCGGCUUUUGAGGUCAAAGGUUUUUCGCUCUAAGAUGAGUCCGCGUAAGAUUAGCUAGUUGGUGAGGUAACGGCUCACCAAGGCGACGAUCUUUAACUGGUCUGAGAGGAUGAUCAGUCACACUGGAACUGAGACACGGUCCAGACUCCUACGGGAGGCAGCAGUAGGGAAUAUUGCACAAUGGAGGAAACUCUGAUGCAGCGACGCCGCGUGAGUGAUGAAGGCCUUCGGGUCGUAAAGCUCUGUCGCAGGGGAAUAACACAAUGAAGGUACCCUGUAAGAAAGAAUCGGCUAACUUCGUG